GCCGGCCAAACACUCCUCCUCCUCACGCGAUCCCACUGCGCGCGUGCUCUACACGCCCGUCGUGUUCAUGAUUCUUCACAGAUCUCCGGAAAAAGCACGAGCCGAAAACGAUUUUUCGGUUGUCUCCAGCCAAGCCCACGCCUAGUUGCCAAAUUGACCACUUGAAAUUCCAACAACACCCUUGACUACACACGUGGCAACAAACCAUUGGCUUGUAGAAAAUGUUGCAGUUAAAACAGAAUUACAGAGAAUACUUGUUCAAAGGGGACCCCACUUAUCACCACCAAUAAUUGAUCAUUCUCCUAAAUCCUCCCUGUAUUCAAGCUGGCACCGCCACUACUGUCUCCUUCUACUUCUUCUUCUUCUUCAAAGAAAAUCCUAAAACCCUAAUCUCGAUUCAGUAGUCGACCUCUGUAAAUAGCCCUGGUAGUUCUGAAUAUAUGGUUUCGUAUCUUACAAUCGAAAAAUCGUCUAUUCUCUUCUACGCAUUGCUUUAGUCUCCAUACUUCAAAAAAAAAAAUAUCGAAGCAGAAAUGGCUCUGCUUCCUCUUCUAUGGUUCUUACUCGCUUCGUUAAUGACCUGUACGAAUUCUCGGCAGCUGAAGAAGGAAGAGACGAUAUAUGAGGUGUUGAAGGCCCAUGGUCUUCCGAUGGGCCUGUUGCCCAAGGGUGUGAAGGAAUUUGACAUCGAUGAGAAUGGUCGAUUCCAAGCUUACUUGGAUCAAGCCUGCAAUGCUAAAUUCGAGAGUGAAUUGCAUUACGAUAGGAAUGUUUCGGGGACUCUCAGUUAUGGCCAGAUCGGGGCUUUGUCUGGAAUUUCGGCACAAGAGCUUUUCCUUUGGUUUCCGGUGAAGGGUAUUCGGGUCGAUGUACCUAGCUCCGGUAUUAUUUACUUUGAUGUUGGUGUUGUGUUUAAGCAAUUCUCCUUGUCACUUUUUGAGACUCCGCCGGAUUGUGUGGCGGUUCGGACUGAGGAGCAUAGGAAUGCUCGUAUUGCUGAGACUGUAUUCAAGAGUAAAAAUGAGAAAGUUCAAUAUCAACUUGAGCAGGAAAUUUUGGGAAGAGAUGCUAUGUAGGAUCAGUGGUGAAAAGGAUGAGAAAAAGGGUACUUUUUGUUCUAAGUUGGCCUGUAGCUCAAUCAGCAUAUGGGUUCUCUACUCAACAGUGUAAAUUUCAGUCAUAUAUGGGGUCUAGGUUUGUGGGUCAUACAGCUUUCUUCCAGACUUCCAGCGUGCUUGCGUUUUCUUUUUUGUUCAAUAUAGUUGCAGAGUUCACAAACUAUAGUCUUUUCCAGCUCCUGUCGACGUUGACUAUUGAGAGGUGGCCAACGAAAAUUUCAUUGGAGAGGAAAUUGGAUUAGGGGCGGCGAUUGUUUCUCACCUACACAAGAAGAUUCAAGUGAGACAGGAUCAUUCGGUCGGGUUGGUGUCGAGUGGAGUCGAGGCGAAUUCAGGUGUAAACCUUGAAGAACUCUGUUUCCUUUGUCAGAGAAGUGGUGCUUAGGAGAGUAAAAUUCUGCAGUGGAUUUUUGAUCUAGAGGUCCUUUCUCUAAGGCCAAUUUUUUUCUUUCUUUCUUCUUUAAUAAUCCAUUACUACUAUUAUUUUUACAUUUUAACUUUUGGUUUGACUAGGUAGACGCUCUAACACUCCCCUUUGCGUAUCCUAACUGGUUAGUAAUCACAUGCUUGAUUUUUUUUAGGUAUUCUUUUCAAAAUUUCCUAACGCUUUUCUAAAUGGUGUCUCUUUUUGCACUUCCAUUUUUAAAUUCGUACUUUUCACUUUUGGCUAUCAGUGUUCCUGAAUAUGUGAUAGCUUAUUUGCACAUUGUGGGUCUUUUCUUUUGUUCAUUUUUUGUUCUUUUCCACUCUGCUAACACAGCUGACUGAUAAGUGACAUGUUAACUAAUUCAAUGAUGCUUGAAAUUGUUGUAUCCUUUGUGUUGGGGCUAAUGACAUAUAAGAAAGGAAUUAAAAAAAGAGAGAGAAAGAAACAAGUGGUGGUAGAUAUGCCAAUGUUUCAGGUUGGAGUAUGCCAACUCUCCUCGGGAGUGCUUAGGGUUGAGAGUGAAGUAUGAGCACUGGAUCAGACGGCCUAUGCCAACCGGAGAGAUACCUAUAACUUCACCCUGACAGGUAUUUGGUUGCUUUAAAACCCAGUGCGACAGCAUGAACUGGCAAAAUUUGUUUGAUUUUGUAAUGUAGGUGUACAUGCUCAUACACACAUAUCAUGGUGCAAGCUGGACGCUUGUCCUGUUAGCCAACCUUAUUACUCAUUGCUAUUAAACCCCAUAUUCCACAAAGUGAUCUUUUAAUUAGCUCCUUCUCUCUCUCUCUCUCUCUCCUGUUUUCUUCCCUUUUUUUCUUGUUCGCUUCUAACGACGGACACACUAAUCAUUGGUUUAUUCAUAAGUUAAUAACCUUGUUUUUGUAGCCUUAGUGUCAAUCUAACCUUACUUUCUCGUUUAUUCAGGAAAGUUUUUCUCUCAGGUUAACAUUGCAGUCGUUUCCUUAAUAUAAAUUAGAUAGUACUCUCGGUGACAUUAUAUUUGUAAGUAAAAUUGUCAACAGUUGCUACUGCUUUGUAUAGUAUGAAUAAAUCUGCUUUCCUUUUGUUGGCAAUGAUGAAAGCUAGCAACACCAUACACAAACCCAACCUUAUUUUUUCAAAUAUUUCAUCAUAUGGUUCAUUUACAGUUCCUGACUCUGCAUUUUCUGAAAAGAAUCUACCUGACUCCAUUGCCAAUGACUUAGUUACAGUUUAUAAGAAUUGAAUUUAUGAAAAGUUUAUUGUGUGCU